GUAGGUGGCAAGCGUUGUCCGGAAUUAUUGGGCGUAAAGCGCGCGCAGGCGGUUCUUUAAGUCUGAUGUGAAAGCCCACGGCUCAACCGUGGAGGGUCAUUGGAAACUGGAGAACUUGAGUACGGAAGAGGAAAGCGGAAUUCCACGUGUAGCGGUGAAAUGCGUAGAGAUGUGGAGGAACACCAGUGGCGAAGGCGGCUUUCUGGUCUGUAACUGACGCUGAGGCGCGAAAGCGUGGGGAGCAAACAGGAUUAGAUACCCUGGUAGUCCACGCCGUAAACGAUGAGUGCUAAGUGUUAGGGGGUUUCCCGCCCCCCUUAGUGCUGCAGCUAACGCAUUAAGCACUCCGCCUGGGGGAGUACGGCCGCAAGGCUG
rnacentral:rRNA from 1 species